rnacentral:rRNA from 1 species
CAUGAAGUCGGAAUUGCUAGUAAUCGCGGAUCAGCAUGCCGCGGUGAAUACGUUCCCGGGCCUUGUACACACCGCCCGUCACACCAUGGGAGCCGGUAAUACCCGAAGUCAGUAGUCCAACCUCGUGAGGACGCUGCCGAAGGUAGGAUUGGCGACUGGGUGAAGUCGUAACAAGGUAGC